ensembl:lncRNA
UACUUCACACACCCUGUCUUAAUGUCUUAACAUUCAUUGUUGUAAGACCACUGAAGCUAUUAAGAUGGGAGUUGAAGACCUUGAGCUUCCUUUCUUUAAUUUUAUUUCAUAUGAAUGAAUAAGUACAGCUAUGGUGUUGGGACUACUUUUUUUUUUUUUUUUUUUUACCUAAUAUAAUAUGAACUUGGAUUGUAUUCACAAACAUUUAGAGAAUACUCAAGGGAAGAUCUUGAAAGUUUCCAUAGAGACUCAAAUCUGAUAGGAAACCGGACUUGAAUCUUUUAGAUAUGAUGUUCAGUCAAUUGAGAAAUGCUUGCACAGUGCAUCACUCUCUUUUAUUUCUUUCCUAUUUCAACACCUACCUUACAACCAUUGCCUUACCAACAUUUAUAUAGAUUUUUUUCUCUAAAGAUCAAUCCCCGUGUCUUUUAUGAACUCCUGACCUUUCCUUUUCAAGGCCUCCAUUUGUGGGCUCAAAUGAAUUGCUUUGGCAACUGCUUUAUUGAGUACGGGGUUACACUGAUGCUUGGUGCAAUCAUAGAUUGCAUAUGAAAGAUGGAUGUAGCCACUAUGAUGUUAACCAUUGGUUUCCUAUCUCUAUUUUUGAUUUGGAUAGGCCAAUAAAGCUGCCGUGAGAGGUGAAUGACGCAAAACUCUUCACUGUCCAAUCAAUGAGAGAGAGAAAGGGAUGGAGAAUCGUGCAUACUGGUGGGGUUCACACUGUCAUUGCCAAUGGACAGGCAUGCACAUCUUUCAUCG